UACGAAGGGGGCUAGCGUUGCUCGGAAUCACUGGGCGUAAAGGGUGCGCAGGCGGUUUUGUAAGCCAGAUGUGAAAUCCCCGGGCUUAACCUGGGAAUGGCAUUUGGGACUGCAAGGCUUGAGUGCGGCAGAGGAGACUGGAAUUCCUGGUGUAGCAGUGAAAUGCGUAGAUAUCAGGAGGAACACCGAUGGCGAAGGCAGGUCUCUGGGCUGACACUGACGCUCAUGCACGAAAGCGUGGGGAGCAAACAGG
rnacentral:rRNA from 1 species